rnacentral:rRNA from 1 species
ACUCCUACGGGAGGCAGCAGUGGGGAAUCUUGGACAAUGGGCGCAAGCCUGAUCCAGCCAUGCCGCGUGAGCGAUGAAGGCCUUAGGGUCGUAAAACUCUUUCGCCAGGGAUGAUAAUGACAGUACCUGGUAAAGAAACCCCGGCUAACUCCGUGCCAGCAGCCGCGGUAAUACGGAGGGGGUUAGCGUUGUUCGGAAUUACUGGGGCGUAAAGCGCGCGUAGGCGGACUAGUUAGUCAGAGGUGAAAUCCCGGGGGCUCAACCCCGGAACUGCCUUUGAUACUGCUAGUCUUGAGUUCGAGAGAGGUGAGUGGAAUUCCGAGUGUAGAGGUGAAAUUCGUAGAUAUUCGGAGGAACACCAGUGGCGAAGGCGGCUCACUGGCUCGAUACUGACGCUGAGGUGCGAAAGUGUGGGGAGCAAACAGGAUUAGAUACCCUGGUAGGAAAGCC